UGGGGAAUAUUGCACAAUGGGCGCAAGCCUGAUGCAGCCAUGCCGCGUGUAUGAAGAAGGCCUUCGGGUUGUAAAGUACUUUCAGUCGGGAGGAAGGUGUCAAGGUUAAUAACCUUGGCAAUUGACGUUACCGACAGAAGAAGCACCGGCUAACUACGUGCCAGCAGCCGCGGUAAUACGUAGGUGGCAAGCGUUGUCCGGAUUUAUUGGGCGUAAAGCGAGCGCAGGCGGUUUCUUAAGUCUGAUGUGAAAGCCCCCGGCUCAACCGGGGAGGGUCAUUGGAAACUGGGAGACUUGAGUGCAGAAGAGGAGAGUGGAAUUCCAUGUGUAGCGGUGAAAUGCGUAGAUAUAUGGAGGAACACCAGUGGCGAAGGCGGCUCUCUGGUCUGUAACUGACGCUGAGGCUCGAAAGGGUGGGGAGCAAACAGG
rnacentral:rRNA from 1 species